UCUCAUCGUGAUGUUGGGGGCGUGGGGAAACGCAGAAUCUAAGUGCGAUUUUAUUCAGCACUGCACGAAGAUCCUCCUCUUUGGUUUCUGAUCACAGUAAUAGAAAUAAUAAAAAGUGAGGAUUAAUAUCUCACUUUUGAUUUUACUGGAGACUUGGCGAAUUUUAAUAAUUUAGAAUUUAGAUGUAAGGAGUGUUCACGUGUGAAAGAUAACUGGAUUUUCAAAGCCAAAAUCUCAGAAAUAUCCCGGAUGGUAAGAUUACUCAUCCCAAAGCACCCACUAAUAGAUUUAGUGAAAUUUGUGUUUUCGGAGAUUGCCUCGUAGAGAUCCCGCGAUGUGGACAGCAUUGGAAUGUGGCGAGAUGAAUGACAGCCUAGAACGAGGCUGUGCAGAAGUUCUGUACGAUCCCAUGACAACGUACAUUCUAAGUGAAAAGCUACCCAGCCCCAGUGCCUUCUGUUGGCUGCAGUUUGGGAGGAAUGACUGCGGGUGGGCCGUGGAUUCCAGGCUUAGGUCACCUGAAAGUUAGCACCUCACAUCCUGCUUCGAUCCUGGAAUCAGCCAUUUCUCCAAGGAGCCCAAGCCCCGUGCAUCGGAGAAUGGAAUUAGAGACCAAGAUCUGGAUGCGGCAUGUGCUCCCUGCCGCUUGGUGACUCCUGCAGUAGGAUCUAUACUUACGGGUACAGAUACUGAUGGAUCUGUACAUACUUCCACCCCAUCCCAUCUCGAUGAAGCGUCCCCUCCCUAAAGUUCCGACUGACACCCCCGCACCUAAGCCUGCCUACGGUCUUUCUAGCCUUGUGCCCUGGUUCAUACAUGGCCGUCCAUGCAACAGUGAGGUAUGCGGCGCCCACACGCAGCACCUUUUCUCUUCCGCCUCACGCACUCGCAGUGCCGCACGUGUGCCCGCCUGACCCUGGAGAAGCAGCAUUGCCGUAUGAGGUGCGGUGCCAUGCACAGCUUUUUGCCAUCUGCCUCCCAUCGCUGUCUAUUUCUGCAGUUACUCAGGGUCGCAGGCACUGGUUUGGAACACACCGCACAGACUAUUCUAGCUGAAGAAAACAUGCAAGGGGGGAUCCAGAUGUGCAGUGAAUACAGAGACUGAGACAGCUGGCAGCACAGUCGCCUGAUGAUCAGCACACUUGUGUCCCCCCCACACCUGGUAUAGGACAGGGACCCUCGCGCUGCACAAGGGGCUGAGAGCACAGUUUCGUCACAACUGCUAGGACGUGCAGUGCAGUUCAUCUGGGCAGUGCGGCCUCUUCACACACAUGCAGAGGGUGUGUGUACGGAGACGAUGCCCAGCAGCUCUGUGCAGCAAAAGCCUGGAGAAGAGGGUUCAGGGCAGACUGGGAAAGCACCGAAGAGAGUGAGUCGGUAGUGUGCGGAUCAAAUGCACUCGGACUGAGCAAUGCAGCCGGAGUGGACUCCUGCUGGUCUGGAAGCCGGACCUGAAGGCGAGAAGGCCGAAGGAGGCAUGGGCAGGGCUCGAGCUCUCUGCUCUCUGAUGUUCCUAGUGGACCCUAUUUCAUGCCCAUUUCUUUGAUUGAUUAAAAUUAUUUACCCCCUCUCUCCCCCCUUCUAAUUUCUUUGGGUUUCUUAUGUUAUUUCUCCUGGACUCUUGGUGAAAAACUUCAUUUAUUUUGUGUCUAUCUUUGAAUCUAAUCGCUCUUUUUUGGAGAGUGCUCAAGUCUGCCACUAUGUAGAAUUAGGAGUUGAAUAUUUUGAAGCCACGGUGAUCUUUUAUAAA